rnacentral:piRNA from 1 species
UGGGCUGGAAGGAACGAACAGUGCCUGACC